UACGGGGGGGGCUAGCGUUGUUCGGAAUUACUGGGCGUAAAGGGCGCGUAGGCGGUCUGCUAAGUUGGAUGUGAAAACUCUGGGCUUAACCCAGAGCCUGCAUUCAAUACUGACAGGCUAGAGUUCUGGAGGGGAUAGCGGAAUUCCUGGUGUAGCGGUGGAAUGCGUAGAUAUCAGUCGGAACACCGGUGGCGAAGGCGGCUUCUUGGGCCAUUUCUGACGCUGAGGCGCGAAAGCUAGGGGAGCAAACAGG
rnacentral:rRNA from 1 species